ACACCCCCGGGCUGGCGGGGUCUGUGUCUCAUGAGUUUUGGGGUCUGCCCGGGGCCCUGGUCUGAUUUCUGGGCAGGAUUCACAUCUCAGCCCCACCGGAGUCACUGCUGCUUUGGGCAGGCAGGGAGUGUGGAUGGGCCACUGGGCUCAGCCUCUGCCUGCCUGUCCCUGGGGGCUGCUGCAGGAGUCCAGGGCAGCUCGUUCUUCAGGUGAUGCCACAAGAGGGCUCCGUCUGUUCCUCAGGGACAGGAGUUUACAGGGCAGUGCGGAGAAAUCACCCAACGUGGCCCCUUUAGUUCUGCUUUUUUUUCUAGCAUUUGCCUCAGAGAAGCCGUUACUGGGAGGGUCUGAAGAGCCUGGGGGGAAUCCGGGUGUGACAUGGACUGAAGCCCCUUCUGUAACCUCCCCCAUCACCCCGACAGGCUGAGGAAUCACGUUAAUCUUUCGAUCCAGAUGGGCCCGUCUUCCAGGAUGCAGGGAAGGGAAAUGUCUGUGAUGGAGCCAGCUGGGCUAGGGGAUUUUCAGGGAGCUCCCGGGAGGACGGGGGCACGAAGGAGACAGGGUGUGAUAAACCUACUGAUUUUCUGAGUGGGCCCAUUGGUGAUGGGGGAGGGGAGAUUGGACAUUCCCCCAUUUCUCAAACAGGAUACAACUCCCUUGCACUGGGCUGGGAACAUUUUCCAGGUUCCCAGUGCUGGAGUGAGACCCUGCAAGCCUGAGGCUGCUAUGAAAUACGCAGGGAAACUGUCAGGAUUCCUGUCCCCGUCCCUGGCUCAGAGCUCUGCUUUCUGUAUCAGCCUGUGUCUGGAAGGAAUGUGGAAAAUGAGAAGACCCUGCCCUGCUCUGCUCUGUGUGCUGGGGGGACAAGGAGCUCUCACCUUCUCCCACCCCCUGAAGUCUCCUGUCUGCCCUGAGCAGGGUGGGGUGGGAUUCUGCUACUCUGGCCCUCCCAGAGCUUCCAUUUCUUUAUCCUUCCUCCCACAUGACUAGUGGGAUUGUGGCUGGAGCAGCAGGUAAUGACCGGGGCCUUUUGGUGUUUCAGAUGCCAGUGACCUUCGAGGAGGUGGCUGUGUAUUUCACCCAGGGGCAGGGGGCUCUGCUGGACCCUGCUCAGAGAGCCCUCUACAGGGACGUCAUGCAGGAGAAUUAUGAGACAGUGACCUCGCUGGGAUUUCCCAUUCCCAAACCUGAGCUGAUUGUCCGGCUGGAACAAGGGGAAGAGCCGUGGGUGCCCGAUCUUCAGGCCUGCGAGGAAAGAAGGCUUUCUAGAUGCCCCCAUACAGCAGGUGCUGAGCGAGGGAGUGAGAAUGAGGAGGGGAAUCAUCAUGAGGAAGUUCCUGGGGAAGUGGAACCACAGGGGACCUUUGUGGAAAAAGCUGAAGGGAAUUUUCCCCAGUGCUUCGAACUCGAAGAAUCCUGGGGAAGUUGGCACAGGUCAGAGAGGCUCCUGGGAAACCACCCAGGGAAGAAAGUGGAUGAAUCUAUUAACAGUGCGGGAGGAGAGGAGGAUCCCAUGGAAGAGACACCCUGGCACUACCUUCAGUAUGGGAAAGGAUUAAUUGUGAGCUCACAGCUUGUGACACAUCAGACAAUCCUCACUGGAGAGAAACCCCUUCAAUGCUUGGACCAUGGAGAAAGCUUUAAUAAGCUCUCAGAUCUUAAUAACCACGGGAGAAGCCACACUGUAGAGAAACCCUCUCAAACCCUCGAGUGCGGGAAAUGUUUCAUUUCGAAGACACAAAUAAUUAGACAUGAGUUAAGCCACACAGGGGAGAGAUCCCAUAAGUGCUUGGACUGUGGGAAAAGUUUCAUACAGAGGUCACACCUUGUUAAACAUCAGGCAAUCCACACAGGAGAAAGACCCCACAAAUGCUUGGACUGUGGGAAAAGUUUCAUAAGAAGGUCACACCUUGUUCAACACCAGGCAAUCCACACAGGAGAGAGACCCCACAAGUGCUUGGAGUGUGGGAAAUGUUUCACAGAGAGGUCAAACCUUGUUAAACAUCAGGCAAUCCACACAGGAGAGAGACCCCACAAGUGCUUGGACUGUGGGAAAACUUUCAUACAGAGGUCACACCUAGUUCGUCAUCAGGCAAUCCACACAGGAGAGAGACCCCACAAGUGCUUCGACUUCGGCGAAAGUUUCAUAAGAAGGUCACACCUUGUUCAACAUCAGGCAAUGCACCCAGGAGAGAGACCCCACAAGUGCUUGGACUGUGGGAAAAGUUUCAAAAGAAGGUAUCACCUUGUUCAACAUCAAGCAAUCCACACAGGAGAGAGACCGCACAAGUGCCUGGAGUGUGGAAAAUGUUUCACAGAGAGGUCAAACCUUGUUAAACAUCAGGCAAUCCACACAGGAGUGAGACCCUACAAGUGUUUGGACUGUGGGAAAAGUUUCAGAAGAAAGUCAAACCUUCUUAAACAUCAGGAAAUCCACACAGGAGAAAGACUCCGCAAGUGCUUGGAGUGUGGGAAAAGUUUCGUAAGAAAGUUAACUCUUGUUGAACAUCAGGCAUUACACACAGGAGCCAGACCCCACAGGUUCUUGGACUUAGGGGAAAGUUUCAUAAGAAGCUCACAUCUUGUUCAACAUCAGGCAGUCCACCCAGGAGAGAGACCCCACAAGUGCUUGGACUGUGGGAAAAGUUUCAAAAGAAGGUAUCACCUUGUUCAACAUCAGGCAAUACACACAGGAGAGAGACCCCACAAGUGCUUGGAGUGUGGGAAAUGUUUCACAGAGAGGUCAAACCUUGUUAGACAUCAGGCAAUCCAUACAGGAGAGAGACCCCACAAGUGCUUGGACUGUGGGAAAAGUUUCAGAAGAAAGUCAAGCCUUGUUUAUCAUCAGGUAGUCCACACAAGAGAGACUCCAGAGGUGCUUGGACCGUGGGAAAAGUUUCAUACAGAGGUCACACCUUGUUAAACAUCAGGCAAUCCACACAGAAGAGAGACCCCAGAAGUGCUUGGAGUGUGGGAAAAAUUUCAUACAGUUGUCACACCUAGUUCGUCAUCAGGCAUUACACACAGGAGAGAGACCCCUCAAGUGCUUGGACUGUGGGAAAGGUUUCAAAAGAAGGUCUCACCUUGUUCAACAUCAGGCAAUCCACACAGGAGUUAGACCCUACAAGUACUUGGACUGUGGGGAAAUGUUUCAUAUCGAGGUCUGACCUCAUUAAACAUGGAAGAAUCCACACAGGAUCUAAACUUCUGUGACAUAUGGCAAGAAAGGAUUAAGCAAGUUGCAUGUAAUUGAUUCGAUGGGGGUAGGGGCUGAAAGAUGGAGAGAAUGUUUAUAGCUGAAAUCACCAAAAUAUGUUUUGCAAGGUUAGUGUUAAUCGGAUCUGUUCCGCUCUCCUGCUCGGACAUUUUCUCUGGGGAUCCCAGAGAUGGAAAGGAGCAAGUGUUACCAUCUUGGCUACCAAUCCCCACGGUGACUCUCUACACUAGCAAUUCUCAAACUUUGGGCUGAGCCUCCCAAUGGAGGGACAGGAAUGUGUCAAGGGAGGCGUGAUCAGUGUAGGUUGUUUGUUUUUUAAAGAGCACUGGCUGUCGGCCCCAGGUGGUUGGGGCUCAUGAAGAAGGAACAGGCCCAUCUGGGAGGUGGGGAUAAAUGCUCACGCUCUGAAACCCAUGUGGAGCAGCAGCACAGAAGUAGGGGUGUCCUCUCCCUUCUCUACAGAAGGCAAGAACAUGACUUGAAAGGCAGCAGGGGCCGUGGAGUGGACAGGACAGACCAAGGCUGUGAACUGCCUGCAACAGGUGGAGCAGCAGCACAGAAGUAGGUGUCAAUGGGGUGAUAAGUCUGCUGUGAACAGCGAUAUUGAGGAAUAUCACUUUUCAUAUGGCCACCCUCACUUCUGUGCUGCUAUUGGAGGGCUUCAGAGCUGGGCGCAUCGCCAGCAACUGCUCUGCCGUUAGAGCUGGGUGGCCAUAUAUAUGCUUGUGAGGGUGGGGGCAUAAUGACCAAAAACACAAAGAAUGCCGGUGGGUGGGGGGGCGCGGUGGAGCUGAUUAAACGCAUUUGAGAACCACUGGUCUACACUAUUAUGGUCACCACAUUCAUAAAAUGAUAAAUCUUCUCCUGCUGAAUAUGAUUGUCCCAUUAAAAUGUGUCUAUCAGCACUGUCCAUGGAGCUCGGAGAGUUUGCUGUAUGCUUGUUACCUGCACACCAGCUAGGUGCUAAGUGGCUAGUAAUUGCUCAGCCGGCCCUUCAGCAGCUGUGGAGCUGAGAAUAAGAGAGUUACAAUUCACCGGAAGGACGGCUGGACGCUCACUUAGGCCACAGACUGAUUGUCGCCUGCCCCCCGGCUGGGGGGUGAACCUCAAAGAGGAGAGUGGUACAAAAGCACAAGAGAGAAUUGCCUCCAUUGUCACCUCUCCUUUCCCAUCUUUUCAGAAGGCAAGAAUCCGCCUUGAAAGACAACAGGGGCCGUGGAGUGGGGAGGACAGACCAAGGCUGGAAGGAAUCCAGCCUGGGUACUCAGAGCUGUGAACUGCCUGCAACAGCAGGUGGGGUGCAAAAACCUCCUUGCUUCACAUUUUCCUUAAAUUGGUAAAAUUUAGGAUUUAAAAUGCAUUUUAUAAUUUUAUAGUUUUAACCGGUUCUGACCUUUGACAUGUUUCUCCCUCGUAAUCCCUGAAAACCCCCUUGCUCCACUUAGUAAAGUGGUUGUAGUUUUUUGUCUGGACCUGUGUGUUUUCAUGGAAGUGUUUGGGGGAUUUGACUGGAGAGAACAAGGCUGUGGCCUAAUCCGGCCCCUCUGUGGGGGUGACCCACUAAUGACUGAGUUUGUCCAGCCCAGUGACCAGACUGAGCUGUGGAAGAUGCACAUUCCUGGAGCGCAAGGCUGGGAGGAGAAAACUGGCUGAUGUUGCUGUUUUAGGAGUAAAGCAACAACUGCCGAUCCCCUGCCAUCCUCAAUCGUCAGGGGCAGUAGAAAGGAUGGAUCAGACUAUCAAGCAAGCCCUUCGCAAAGUGGUGCACGUCACUGACAAAGGUUGGGACAAUAAAUUACCCAUGGCGUUGGCAGCCAUCGGAGCAAUGAGGGAUUGGAUACUGACUAGCAGCCGUAUCCCAUUCUCUGUGGAAGGUCUGUGAGCUUGUGGAACCCUUUAGUGUGGAACCCUUUAUUAUAUGGAGGAGGAGGAGGAGUCGCUGUUGUCCUGGGCCUUCAUCAGCAACUCCAAGGAGCCAGUCUUGGGCAGGAAGCCAGAAUCCAAGCCGUGCCAUUUUCUGCAGUUCUUACACAGUUUUAAAGCCGUCCCGCUGGUGUUAUUUCCUUUCUUGCCGAUUCUUCAUUUUUUUCCAGGGACAUGACAAAACUGGUUUUUUAUAAGCAGUUCUUUUUGACCAAUUCACCCUUCAGUUCUCGCUUUCCAGCCACACUAGGUUGCAAGACCUAUAACAUGUUACAUGGCUAGAUGGGUUAUAUAUGUACAUAUCCCAACAUUGCCUGCGUCUCCCAAGGGGGCUCAGUGACCCUGUUCCCAUCCUCUGGAAUUGAAUUAUCCCUCAGCUGGCUGGCUGAGGGCUCUGGCUCUACCCAGCGCCCCCCUCACUUCCUCCUGGGAGCUCAGAGCUGCGCGGAGCCCCUCCCUGCCUGUGGUGGGGGCCCUAUGAGACCAGCCAGCGCCAGGAGCAAAAGUUUUUAGCAUGUGAGUGAGCAGGGCUGGGGGAGUCAGGCCUGGCAGGGGGGUUGAGCGAGGCUGGGAACAGGCGCUGGAGGCUGGGAAGAGGGCUGGUGGAGCCGAGCUUGGUAGAGCCGGGCAUGGGACUUUGUGAAGUGAAAGAGGAGGAACCAGGCUAGGGAUUGCUGGGGCGAGCCGGGCUGGAAAAGGAAAAGAGCAAGGAGGGGUGUCUUUGUCUGACUCAGUGAGCUAGCAACCAUAGGGGCUGACUACAUGAGUGUUCUGGGGCUGGAGCACCCACGUGGAAAAAUUGGAGGGUGCUCUGCACCCACGGGCAGCCAAGCUCCCUGCCCCAGCUCACCUUGCUUCCGCCUUCUCCACUGAGCGUGCAGCAUCUCUGCUUCCCCUCUCAGCGCUUGCCGCCACAAAAGAGCUGUU